GACCACCCGCACACCACCUCGACCUUGGGGAGGUCUUCUUCCCCAGCACCGACCACCGAUCCGCCGCCAUCUUCCCCGAUCAGCACGACGCCGUUACUCCACCUCCACCUUCAAAACUCCACCAGUAGCCUCUAAACACAUCCAAUAGUCGAUCCCAUGCUUCAAUUUGACACAAGGAGCCCUUCCGGCGAGUCCCACAACCACCCGACGCAGCUGUCCGCUGGAGACGACCUCCACGUUGUUCUGGUGCUCGCUGGCGACCACCACCACCCACAGACACGGGGUGCCACCCCGAACACAUCUGACCAUCGCCGCCUCUUGAAACGCCGGCGAUCGCCGCUGGUGACCACCGCAUCCCCUCUGUAUACGCACGCGGAGAGCGCGUUUGAAUUUCAAACCUGACGGGUGGGGCCCACCCGUCAGUAUUAUGUUCUUUUCUGUUAUUUUCAAAAGCGUCUUGUGACUCUUUACGCUUUCUUCUCCAGGAAGCGUAUUCCUAUCCGAGGCGCUUUCAGUUAUUACCUCAAGGACCCGCUGGCAGUUACUUUAUUUAUAGAGAGAAAACGAAGAGGGGGACUAUACCGGGAGUUUUGAAGAACCUCUUGCUGAUUACUUUGGUCAAGGCAAGCAUUAUUGGACUUGGGUUAUAAUGAAUUGUCUGCAUGGUUGCAUCGGAGUAGUUUUGCACCAUAUAGUAGUAGUAGUAGUAGUAGUAGUAGUAGUAGUAGUAGUAGUAGUAGUAGUAGAAGCAUGCAUUGGUCAUGUCAAUUUGAGCACUAUUGCGCGAACACUGUUGCAUGUCAUGUGAGCACUAUUGCAUUCAUCAGGUAUUUUGCUAACAUGUGAUUAUGGUAAGGAUCUAGGGGUGUCCUGCCUUGGACGUGCCGAUGGGAACGGACAGUGUUAUGACACGACGGUGUCAUUGUGGCAUGAGAGAUAUGCCAGUCUUAAUAACACACUACAAAAAAAAGACACAUACGUGA